rnacentral:rRNA from 1 species
GACGAACGCUGGCGGCGUGCUUAACACAUGCAAGUCGAACGGAAAGGCCUGCUUUCCCUUGUGGAUUGCGGGUACUCGAGUGGCGAACGGGUGAGUAACACGUGAGUGAUCUGCCCCCAACUUGGGUAUAAGCCUGGGAAACUGGGUCUAAUUCCCGAUAGGACUGCAGGGUGGUGCCUGUGGUGGAAAACGAUUUUCUAGUGGUUGGGGAUGAGCUCGCGGCCUAUCAGCUUGUUGGUGGGGUAAUGGCCUACCAAGGCGGCGACGGGUAGCCGGCCUGGGAGGGUGGACGGCCACAUUGGGACUGAGAUACGGCCCAGACUCCUACGGGAGGCAGCAGUGGGGAAUAUUGCACAAUGGGCGGAAGCCUGAUGCAGCGACGCCGCGUGGGGGAUGACGGCCUUCGGGUUGUAAACUCUUUUCGACCGCGAGGAAGCCACCUGGUUGGAAGGGUGGUGACGGUAGUGGUAGAAGAAGCACCGGCUAACUACGUG